AAUCCAUGUCAUCAAGCGGCUGAUAUUUUCCGAUAUAUUUUUCUUUUUUAUUGAGGCAAAUAUUGUAUAUUUAGUGAUUGUAUUAUAUUGUUGUACGCUUACAUGAGUCUAUUAUAAUCGUAAUGCUUGUCAGAAAAUAUUCAUUACGUUAAUUUUGGUUGUUUAAUUUGUAGACACAACCAUUUAGUUUCACCGCGUAUAAGUUAAUCUAGUUACAAAACAUGGCUAUGCGAAAGAGAAGCGGUUCAGGUUCAAAGAGACAUCUAAAGGAGAAGGUGGUACAAAUCUAUGAAAGCUUUUUUCGGGGAGAAGAUUUAUCAACAGAUAACCCAACUUUUUGGGAUGAAUUCUUUCUCCUCAAACCUAAGAUUCCCCAGCUGGAAGCGGAAAUUCACAAGCUAUCUACUGAACAACUAAUGAAUAUGAAAGACAGUAUAAAUCUCUUAGUUGCGCAAUGCAUAGAAAUGCUAGGGCAAGAGCAUCAUAUAAGGCUUGUUUAUGCAUUACAAACCCUAAGUGCACUGCUGAUAACAAUGUAUCAAAGAGUAGGGCAGGACCCUACUUUUAACAUCAAAACAAUUUUAAUUGGAACUGACAAUGCAGAAACCAAAAUGCAGAAACUGUUAGAACAGUGUAGCACAAUACUAUCAGGUGAUGUUCCCGAUAGCUUGAAGUCAAUGGUCCUCAAACUGUUGCUAGUGAUUGCAACAGGAGUGGAUAAUAUUGACGACAAUCCUCUGGUUGAGUACCUGAUGCUGAACUCUCUCUUUGAACCACUGGUGCAACUUCUGUGUACUUCUACUGAAAGACAACAACAUGGAUAUGAUGUGGUACUGCUGAUUAUGUUCUUGGUGAACUACAAAAAGCAAGAGUCUGCUAAUCCAUAUGUGGUGAAGUUGUCUAUCUUGGAUGAUGAACUGGCAUUGAAUGGCUACGGCCAAGUGAUAACAGCAGCUCUGAACGACUUCGUGAUGUCAGUAUUCGGCGGGCUGGCGGGCGGCGGCGGCGGCGGCUGGCUGUCCUCGCUCACCAGCAUGGUCGGCGGGAUCUUCCUCACCAGCGAUGACACCCCGCCAGUUGUGCGGGGACAGAGGAACAGCGGUGGCGAAGAAGGCAUGCUUCUAGCGCUAUACGAAGCUGCGCACGUGAAUCGCAACUUCAUGACGACCCUGGCGCACUCCUCAUCCGCCGCCGCCUCCUCCGCGCCGCCCUCGCCGCCCGCCACGCUGCCUCCACACCAGAACCCACCGAACUUAGCGCAGAUACAAGCUUUAGACAACGACCAGCCAACGAAUUUGUUAGUGACCUUCUUUCAAUAUUGUUCCAUAGUAAUGGCGGACACACGGAGUGAAUCAAGCAUAAACAAAUGCAGCCUGUGUUUCAUCACACUCACAUGCAUUGUCGAAGAACAAUUCGCGAAUUCUAUAAUGCACGACCAAAAUCUGACAUUCAAGGUCCAAUUGUACAGGCUUCCAAUGCGUCAUAGAAAAAUAGUUCCCGAAGAGCCUCUUUCACAACCUUUAGCUUCCACUUUAAUAGAUCUUCUAGUAGAGUUCAUGAUGUGCCAUCUCCUCAAGAAGUUCCCGGGUGAGCUGUACGAGCUAUGUGUGGGCGUGCUACUACGACUGCUCAGCUACCAAAAGCGGUGUCGCGUGCGCCUGUCGCGGGACUGGCGGCCGCUGUGGGCGGCGCUGAUCGCGCUGCUCAAGUUCCUGGUCACCAACGAGAGCACCUUGCUGAGGAGGCACAACAUCUUCGUUAUGGCGCAACAGGUGGUGAACAUAUUCAACCUGUUCAUCACAUUCGGCGACACCUUCCUGCCGACGCCCGCGUCCUAUGACCAGCUGUAUUACGAGCUCAUUAGGAUGCACCAAGUGUUCGACAACCUCUUUUAUAUGGCGCUCCGCUACUCGACCGGCGACGGAGAGUUUAAAGCCGAGGCGCUGAGGCUGGCCAACUGUUUGGUCAACGUGCGUGCUAUCAUACAACACUUCUCGCCCAAGAUAGAAGCGUGGCUCAACUCACAGAGCCUAUCCACUCCUACUGAAGAUCAGAUCCUGGAAGUGGUCCGCAAGAACUAUGACAGCCUGAUCCUCAAACUGCAAGAAGGGCUGGAGGCGUACGAGCGGUACUCGGAGCGCGGCCCGCGGCCGCUGCCGGCGCGCCUGGCCGCCCGCGCCGCCGCCGCCGCGCGCGCGCGCAGCGACGCCGCCGCGCUGCAUCGACACUCCGCCGCCGCGCUGCAGCACUACGCCGCCGUCGCCUGAGCGCGCCUGACGCGUGCCGCGGUAACUAACACCACUCUUGAGGUGCCUCCGCCGUAUUCGGCCAUGACGACAAGUCUCCAAUCUAGGAAUGCCUAAGAUGCGCUCUUAUAUGGCUGACGUAACCGAUCUUAGCAGUGAAUGUACAAUACCCUAUACAACGAAAUAGAUUUGCAUAACAAUGUUAUAUGUACUAGUUAGACUCUCACAGCCAUACACCGGAAGGACGAAGUCUCGACCCUACAAAUGUUAUGGGGGUUGAUGGGUCAUUGCUAUUAAAUCUUUAUCAAUCGAAGAACUAAUCCAAAUAAAUUAAUAAGUGCCAAUGACAUUUCACACUCAGUCUUGUGCAAUUUAAAACAUAGUGUUAUUUUACCAUAAUAGAGGCGACUAUUCUUUGCACAUUUAUUAUUUAGCACCCAAAGAUUAACUUGAGCCGAUUCAAGCUGUCAUAGUCGAAUUAUAUAAUUGUAAUUAAAAAACAAUUCAUAUCAAACGCUAAAUAAACAUUAGAAAUAUUAUUAUACAGUCGUUCGUCGACUCAAAACGAGAUUAUUGAAAACAAGAUGAAAGUUAUUAUGUUAGAUUUCAGUAAUGUUAAUUAACUUAUUAUGUAUGAAUUUAAUAUUUUCUAUUUGCAACUAUAUUAAUUAUCUUUCAAUGUUACUUUCGUUAUAGAAUAGAAUCGUUAAGGUUAUGAUUAUUUGUUUAGAAAGCUAGAAGAAAAAACUAUGAAAAAAAACUAUUAUACUAUAAAUGCUCCUAGCAUUUAAAAAAUAUGUAUUCCCUACCAGUGUUAUAAAUUAAGACUGAAAUGCAUAAUGGAGCAUGCACAUGUAAUUUAUUGGACCUUGUUUUAGUACCAGAGAAUGAAGGUUAGGACGUAGUGUGUAUUUAAAAUGUACCUUUUAUGCUUAGGUGAUGCCCUGUAAUCUAUAUGAAAAUUUCAAGAAAUAUCUAAAUGUUAUAAUAACAUUGAAUAUUGAUUUUAAUAAAUUAUUUUAACAUGAAUA
rnacentral:misc_RNA from 1 species